GCCUCUGACAUUUUAUUCAUCAGCUGGGUUUUAUACAUUAAAAAGUAAGUGCUUACGUGCAAAUACUCUUAGAACAGCAAUAGGAAGGGAGUACAGAUAAGACAUAGGGAUGAACAUCAUGUACACAUAACAAAUAUGUUCCAAGGUAAUAAAGAACAAAAAGAUUAUAGAAGAGACAUCUCAGGUGGGGGCUCUCUGCUCCCGGAACUAGACAUAUAUGGUCUUAAGUGUUAUUUAAGCAUCAAGCAUUUCCGGAGUCCAAGUUAGCCAAUUUUAAUAUAGGAUAUCAUUAUAUGACACCUAUAAGCUUGAGACUUGGAAUCAAGAUAAAUUCUAUAACACUACAUACAGAUGGCGUAUAGGUAAUACGUUAUUGGCAGCUACAUACAGAUGGCGUAUAGGUUAUGGGCAGCUACAUACAGAUGGCGUAUAGGUAAUACGUUAUUGGCAGCUACAUACAGAUGGCGUAUAGGUAAUACGUUAUUGGCAGCUACAUACAGAUGGCGUAUAGGUAAUACGUUAUUGGCAGCUACAUACAGAUGGCGUAUAGCUACACAUCUGGAAAUUCAUUAUACACUAACACUGGUAAAUUCCAGGACCAUGCUCUAAGUGUGCCUGGAUCACCAGGCUAGCAACCCAACGAAGAUCAUACUAGAAGACAAGGUGAAUUGUUAGUGUAAGACACUUUAUGGCCAUUGCAGUGAUUCUAAGAACCUCCAGUUAGUGUAUAGGGAUCUGUGAAAAGUGCACAGGUAAAACUUUGUUUAGUGUACGUUUUGGGGCUCAUUUACUAUAGUCAUUGCUACCGCCCAGGAGCGUUUCAAAGCAGGACAGUCUAUAGUAAAUACAUUGUUACACAGAUCUGCACACCAGUCAAACCAUAAGACUUUUGUUUCCCACAGCAAUCUCACAUUUGCAGAGCGCUUACUAGUGUGAAGGGAUUCUGAGGGGGUAAGCAAGUUAGUUCAAGGAUACUCUCUCCCCCCACACCCCCCAUUAUUUCACUUCUUUGUUUCAAAGCAGACAAAGCCAGAUAACCAAUCAUUGAUGGCCAUUUCAUUGUUAAAAAAGGAACCCAGUGGAAGGUUUGUUACUGAUGUUUUGUGUUACUUGUGAAGCACAGACCAAGAGUUAACUUACCCCAUCAUAACUAUGUGUGUGCUCUACAUCUAGAGAUAACACCCCAAGUAACAUAUUGCUCACCCCAUUACCCACAGUGUAUUAACCCUUACAUAACAGGGCAAUUGUGCCUUUAUAGGGUUAAUGUGAUCAAAUGACAUGAUUCUUCAUUAAAAAGAAAUAUAUUCUCAAGAUGGUCUUUUAUUUGAAUUAAUGUGUGCAUUGCUCAAUGGGGACAACCAUCUUUAAGUUCUCUGAUCAGAAGUAACUUGUACCAAACUAAAAACUGUGCAGACCAGUUCAUACCUUGUGUGCGUUGCCAUCUUGGAAUGUAAUAGAGGAGAAAAAAUAAAAUAUAUGGUCAUUUUUAUUAAACCUGGUUGGAAAAGAAAUAAAUACAGAAACAAGGAAAUUAUUUUGCACAAGUGCAGAUAAAUUUAUUUAACAUUAGUGCUUCAGGACAGCUCAGUGAAUAGUUAAACAUUCAUGGCACCAGCAAGUCACUGGUUAAAAAGACAAUGUACCCAACCCAUAACAGGUUGGUCACAUUUCGAAUUAAACAAAACCCAUACCCCACCAGCACACAAACAAUGCUUUAGCUACCUGGCCAUGCUGGGAGGAGCAGUGGGAUUAUAAAGUGUCGCAGUGUAAGAACUCUAGCCAGCGCUAGCAGUCAAAUUUUAAAGUGCAAAAAGUGCUUAAAGGAGAAAAAACAAAACAGUCACAAUGAUCGUAGGAAUUCUUUGGUGUAUGUAGGCCAUGCUUCGAUGAGAAUUUCGAAUAAUGCAUUCAGAGCUUGAUCGGCAAUAUCGCCAUCUAUCCUCCAGGACUCUGGGAAGACAGCCUAUGGCACUCCAGAUCUUGAUUAGAUUUACCCUGAUGCUUUGGCAGCAUUCUGAGAUAUGUAGUCCCCAAGAUCUGGAAUGUAAAAGGCAGACUACCCCAUGCUCUAGGUCUAUAGUGCAAGAUAGGAUUCCCACAACCCAUAAUAUAUAAACACAUUUCCAUUUAACAGGAACACAGCAUUAAACACUAUACAAUGAGCCAAACAUUCAUAUUGUAAUGCCUCCUUUUUAGAUCCCUCCAGAGGCAGCAAGAGCUCCCCAAACUGUGCUGGGAGUGGAUAAGGCUUACAAUGCCCAUUUAGUGCCACGUUAAUGCAGAAUCGUGAGUUACCUGACACCAAAUCAGCCCUCCCAGAGAUCCGUUUAUCAAGACAUCUACAGAGUAACACUGCCAACGCAGAGUGCAGUAGAUGUAGCACUCAGACAGGACAAUAAAUGGGGUGUUUGACAGAGAAGGAUUGAUCAUUCUUGUAUGAUAAGACCGAAAUAGGUCAAGGAUACAGCAAUGGAAUGUUAGAACAUCUGAAAUAAAUUAAAUAAUUGAAUACAGUUAUCAGGUCAAUAAUGCUGGAUGUCAUAGGGUUCAAACAGAAUAGAUUAUAUUAAAGCCAUACAAUACUAGCAACAUGACAGGUUAAAUUAAGUCUAUGCUAAGCAGAACAGGGCGAUCAGCUGGGGAGGGCUUACAGUUGGGUCUAGUAACGGACAAACUUUGUUUAUGCCUUGCCCCCAAAAAAUAAAAUAAAUAAGAUAACGCCACAAAUGACUUUCCCAAGUUGUGAGAGGUGCUACUGACAGCAAUUACAGCUUCAUAUUCUAAAUCCCAGCUCCCACGGAUAUAUAGUAAUACAGGUUAUAGUUUGAAAGUCAAAUUCAUCUAUGUCAGCACAGUAUCCUCAGCGUCUAUGUCCAUUGUUAUGUAGACACUGCCACCACCAGAUAAUAUGAUGAGUUCCACUGAAACCAACAUUAACAUUGCUAGAUCCAAUUCCUUUCAAAUUGGGCAUUUCAGGAUUCUGUGCAAAUUGAUAUAGAAAUGCCAACACCAAGACGAGGACAUUCCCAAGUCAGUAUCACACCGACCGAAUAGGGAAAUGUGACUGGGUUGAAAACACUAAAAACAAGAAAUCAGGUCCAGCUUAGCACAAGUCUGGGGAGUAUCUAGCAGGCAUAGGCCACCUUUGGCACUCCAGAUGUUUUGGACUACGCCUCCCAUGAUGCUUUGCCAGCAUUACAGGUGUAAGCAUUAUGGGGGAUGUAGUGCACAACAUCUGGAGUGCCGAAGGUUGCCUACGCCUGAGAGAACCAGAUGACAGUUUAUGGCAUUCACAGAACCUGUCCAGAACUACAUCACCAUGUCUGUUUCUGGCCUUUAGGGAACACCCAAUUCUUCCAGUGGCGUUUGACAGUCAGACAAGCCUGUCCCAAGGUAAAGGAGUCUAACCCAGAGUCUAGCCAUCAGUCUUAUCCAGUUAGAUUUUAGGACUGCACUCCGCAAUGGUUUGUGAUAUUGCAAAUAUAAAACAUUGUCUUUGCUUCACUUCCAAAUGCUGAGUGGGAAGCAGCUACUGCAACCUUUACAAUUUAAAUACAGGUUUUCUUUCAUGGAGGAGGUUAGUCA